GUAAUCGAUUACUGAGAAAUCUAGGUAAUCGAUUACUGAGAAAUCUAGGUAAUCGAUUAUUGAGAAAUCUAGGUAAUCGAUUACUGAGAAAUCUAGGUAAUCGAUUACUGAGAUAAAUAUUUUCCUCAGCAUUUUAAUAUA